rfam:Oryctolagus cuniculus unplaced genomic scaffold chrTn0634, whole genome shotgun sequence.
GUAAAUAUAGUUUAAAAACAUUAGAUUGUGAAUCUAAUAAUAGAAGAUCAUCCCUCCUUAUUUACC